CAGUUGCCAUCAUUUGGUUGGGCACUCUAGUGAGACUGCCGGUGACAAACCGGAGGAAGGUGGGGAUGACGUCAAGUCCUCAUGGCCCUUAUGGUAGGGCUUCACACGUCAUACAAUGGUCGGUACAGAGGGUUGCCAAGCCGCGAGGUGGAGCCAAUCCCUUAAAGCCGAUCGUAGUCCGGAUCGUAGUCUGCAACUCGACUACGUGAAGUCGGAAUCGCUAGUAAUCGCAGAUCAGCAUGCUGCGGUGAAUACGUUCCCGGGUCUU
rnacentral:rRNA from 1 species